rnacentral:rRNA from 1 species
GACGAACGCUGGCGGCGUGGAUUAGGCAUGCAAGUCGAACGGUAGGAUACCUUCGGGUAUCUGAGAGUGGCGAACGGGUGAGUAACACGUAGGUGAUCUACCCUCAAGAUUGGGACAACCCAGGGAAACUUGGGCUAAUACCGGAUGAAAGCAGCAGUGAUGUUGUUUGAAAGGUGGCGUAAGCUGCCGUUUGGGGAUGAGCCUGCGCUCUAUUAGUUAGUUGGCGGGGUAAAGGCCCACCAAGGCGAUGAUAGAUAGGCGGCCUUAACGGGUGGUCGCCCACACUGGGAUUGAGAUACGGCCCAGACUCCUACGGGAGGCAGCAGUCGAGAAUAGUCUACAAUGGCCGAAAGGCUGAUAGCGCGACGCCGCGUGAACGAAGAAGCCCUUCGGGGUGUAAAGUUCUUUUAUAUGUGAGCAGUGCUUUCUAUGUGAACAGCAUGGGGAGAGAGAUAUUAGCAUAUGAAUAAGCAACGGCUAACUCCGUGCC